CCCUAUGGGGCGCAGCAGGCUACUUCAUCAGGGUGCUUGGUGGUGGAUAUGCCAACGCUAAGAAGUAUGUCCAUGAUGGGCUUGUGGCCACCGAGACCGAGACAUUCUAUGGGGGCAACGCUGAGGGACCUUACGAUCUGGGCUACAAAUGCUAUACUCAGAACGUGGCCAAUAGCGUAAAAAUAGGCGCGGGCGAACCUAUACCUAUCGUCUAUACGGCGACUGGCCUGACCACCGGCAAAGUCUAUCUUGACCAGGAGAACGGCACUCUGACCUUCUUCACAGCACAAGGCCCGGAGGCUGACGAGCUGGUCACAUGCUCCCUGGAGCACUAUGGCAACCUCGGUGCAUGGGAGAGC
rnacentral:rRNA from 1 species